AGGGAUGGCAAGAUUUUGUGAACCAGAGGCACCUCCACAUAUGCACCUGCGGCACUUCUGCAGCCUCAACAGCACGGAAAAGUACCUGAUGUGCAUGCUGUGACAAGCUGCUGUAGGUAUGGCUGGACCUGGAGAAGUGUAAGCAGACCAUGCUAUGUUGCUGAUCUGCGCUGAUCUCCACACCCAAGUUGGUCCUGCGACAGUUGGGCACCAUUGUGCCUUGCUUCGUUGACAAGGUGAUAUAAUAUGGUGCCCUGCUCGCUCUCACCCAAGCAACCCACUCCAGCGGUCUUCUCUCGGCAGACUGGAUGCAUC